rnacentral:lncRNA from 1 species
AGGAGGCAUGCUCACAUGUGCGCUAGUCUGUUGGCGUGUGGAUGACCUGCGCGCUUUCCCCAGUGCGUGCGACUCCUCCUCGCGCGCAACACAACGUUCGUGAGUGUGAUGCUUCCCCUCGCGUGCGACCUUAUUCGUGCGGGACAUGUGCUGCUGUCCAUAUUUCGAGGCCGAAUGAUCUUUCUAUUUUAUCGGGUUGGGCCAAAAGUUGUUUUUCAACUUCACCUUGCAAUCAUUCAAGCCCAUGAAUAGCCACUUGGGCUUUAAGUAUGCUUUGAACAUACUUGGCCCAUUCUUUAGAGCAAUCCCAUUAAGGAAACUGUUUAAGAGCAUGACUACUUUUCUCUUUCAGCUUAGGAAGCAAAAAGAAUUCGAAACUGAUUGCCUGUUUGGGACAGGACUUUGC